GAUGGAAGAUCCUGACACAUUCCAGAGAAUUCCUGCUGUGGCAAACUUUGAUUUACCUCAUGAGUCCAAGAUUUUUUAUUUUUAUAAGUUGUGCCUUAUGAAUGUGGGGAGAUCAAAUGUGGCACUUUGCCAUGUCUGUCUUCCUGGUAGAAUUAUAUGGACAUAAUCUGCUUUUAUCAGCAGUGUUUGGCUUAGUGGUGGCUGGAUAUGUAUUAAUAUUUGGGGUCUUAAUUGGUGAUUGGAUUGAAAAGAAACCAAGAAAUAAAGUUGCUUAUACCUCGCUCUGCAUGCAGAACGCCUCCGUCACCGCCUGUUGCACUGUCCUGAUGCUUGUGCUCCCCUACAAGAGGCAGAUGGAACAAAUCUGGGAUGGCUGGCUCACUGUGAGUGUCUCCCAUGUCCCUACGUUGCUGUGCACUGGUGACCACCCUAGUGGCCUUGGCAAACCUGGCCGGCACGGCGCUGACCGUCACCAUCCAGAGGGACUGGAUCGUGAUUAAGUUGCAAUGUUUCCUUCCUCUCACUUACAGGGAUGAAUACCAACAGUCCGGCAGGAGGACCAGAUCAUCAAUAUAUUUGCUCCCCUGUCUGUGGGUCAAGUGAUGACAUGGGCAUCUCACGUGAUCAGUUGUUGUUUCAUUCUUGGAUGGAACUUUGUUUCACUUCUUGUAGUUUCUAUUUCUGUCCAGGGUUUAUCAGCUAGUUCGCCAAUUGGCUAUACGAGGGAUGGGAAGCCUACUGCAGGCAGAUGGUCUUCUUAGCUGGCUUGUGCUUGGUCUUCCUCUACAUGACAGUUCUGGGGUCUGGCGGCAUCAUCACUGGCUAUGCCUGUACCCAGGGGGUUGGAGACUCCCUGCUUAGCAUCCUCACGGCCCUUUCAGCUCUCUCUGGCCUGAUGGGCACCGUUCUCUUCACCCAGCUUAGGGGGCACUAUGGCUUGGUCACAACUGGAGUCAUAUCUAGCCAGCUCCAUUUAGGCUGUCUAAUGCUCUGCAUGUUUUCUGUCUUGGCUCCUGGAAAUUCUUUUGAUCUGGCUGUUGAGCCUUUUUCCUUCCUCCUCAAUUCAAAGUCACCACCUGCAAAGCCCCUCUCUGAGGCCACAGCUCAGAGCCAGGGGAUUCCUCACCCCUAGGCUAGAAACAGCAACAGUGCUAGUCAAUGCCAGAGCCAGAAUUCUCACCAAGGUCCUCUGAUUUCUAUUCACAUUCAUUCUUAGCCUACGCUGCUGCCCUGCUGGCCUCUGGUCCUUUGCCCUCACUGUGACUCAGCUUCUUUAGGAAAAUGUUUCAGAAGUGGAGUGAGGGGCUGUGGAUGGUGUGCAGUGCUCCCUGAACAACCUAUGGACCUGACCACAUCCACUUCAUCCUCAUUACACUGGCCCCAUAGCCCCAGCAAUUUGGCAUGCUGGUUUUCAUCUCCAAACUGUUUGUAACCAUAGGGCAUGUGCUGUACUCUUUUUUUUUAUGC
rnacentral:lncRNA from 1 species